CCCCGGAUGCGGGGCGCCAGGAGAGGAUGCCGGGAAGAACGGGCGGAAGGAUCUCAGAGCGAAGGUUGCGAUGUGUCCGCGGACGGCGGCGGCGCGUUCUGUGAUUGCACCGCGCGUGCCUGAGGUGAUCUCGGCCUAUGUCGCGUCAGCCGCGCUGGUGAUGUGAGCUCCGCCCCCUGCCUGGGCGCGCGGAUGUGCGGCACCUGAAUCCUCGGAGGGCCUCGUCCUGGGAACUCCGCGAGGCAGCUACAAAAAGCCGCGCAAAGAGGUUGUGAAAGACGCCGUGCACACACUGAAGGGUGGGACAGUGAGUUUUUUACUUCAAUGGGAACAUCUGUGAUUAUAUUUCCUGAAAAUUCGAGACUGAACACAUUUUUAAGAUGUGAGAUAUUUUGAGAGUUGUGGACUAAUUUUUCCUAAGGUUUCCUGAGAUAGAAGGCCAGUGAUAGCCUGAUAUUCAGCAAUCAUCUGAGUUAUUGAUAAUGAUGGACUUUGUGAAGUUUCAAUUUCUGAUU